rnacentral:rRNA from 1 species
GAUGAACGCUGGCGGCGUGCCUAAUACAUGCAAGUCGAGCGAACGGACUAGAAGCUUGCUUCUCUGACGUUAGCGGCGGACGGGUGAGUAACACGUGGAUAACCUACCUAUAAGACUGGGAUAACUUCGGGAAACCGUAGCUAAUACCGGAUAAUAUUUUGAACCGCAUGGUUCAAAAGUGAAAGACGGUCUUGCUGUCACUUAUAGAUGGAUCCGCGCUGCAUUAGCUAGUUGGUAAGGUAACGGCUUACCAAGGCAACGAUGCAUAGCCGACCUGAGAGGGUGAUCGGCCACACUGGAACUGAGACACGGUCCAGACUCCUACGGGAGGCAGCAGUAGGGAAUCUUCCGCAAUGGGCGAAAGCCUGACGGAGCAACGCCGCGUGAGUGAUGAAGGUCUUCGGAUCGUAAAACUCUGUUAUUAGGGAAGAACAUAUGUGUAAGUAACUGUGCACAUCUUGACGGUACCUAAUCAGAAAGCCACGGCUAACUACGUG